GGCUUAGUUUGAUCAUGGCUCAGGACGAACGCUGGCGGCGCGCCUAACACAUGCAAGUCGAACGGAGCUACUUUGACAGAUUCCUUCGGGAUGACGUUGAUUUAGCUUAGUGGCGAACGGGUGAGUAACACGUGAGCAACCUACCUUUCAGAGGGGGACAACAGUUGGAAACGACUGCUAAUACCGCAUAAGACCACGCUAUGGCAUCGUAGAGGGGUCAAAGGAGAAAUCCGCUGAAAGAUGGGCUCGCGUCCAAUUAGCUAGAUGGUGAGGUAACGGCUCACCAUGGCGACGAUUGGUAGCCGGACUGAGAGGUUGAACGGCCACAUUGGGACUGAGACACGGCCCAGACUCCUACGGGAGGCAGCAGUGGGGAAUAUUGCACAAUGGAGGAAACUCUGAUGCAGCGACGCCGCGUGAAGGAAGAAGGUCUUCGGAUUGUAAACUGCUUUAGACAGGGAAGAAACAAAUGAUAGUACCUGUAGAAUAAGCUCCGGCUAACUACGUGCCAAAGCC
rnacentral:rRNA from 1 species